AUUGAACGCUGGCGGCAGGCCUAACACAUGCAAGUCGAACGGUAACAGGAAGAAGCUUGCUUCUUUGCUGACGAGUGGCGGACGGGUGAGUAAUGUCUGGGAAACUGCCUGAUGGAGGGGGAUAACUACUGGAAACGGUAGCUAAUACCGCUUAACGUCGCAAGACCAAAGAGGGGGACCUUCGGGCCUCUUGCCUUCGGAUGUGCCCAGAUGGGAUUAGCUAGUAGGUGGGGUAACGGCUCACCUAGGCGACGAUCCCUAGCUGGUCUGAGAGGAUGACCAGCCACACUGGAACUGAGACACGGUCCAGACUCCUACGGGAGGCAGCAGUGGGGAAUAUUGCACAAUGGGCGCAAGCCUGAUGCAGCCAUGCCGCGUGUAUGAAGAAGGCCUUCGGGUUGUAAAGUACUUUCAGCGGGGAGGAAGGGAGUAAAGUUAAUACCUUUGCUCAUUGACGUUACCCGCAGAAGAAGCACCGGCUAACUCCGUG
rnacentral:rRNA from 1 species